GAUUUCUGGCUUGGCAAGCCGAACCCGCUGCGGUUACGUGGUGAGUGUUCAGUCGUGUCAGCCAUCCUUCUAGAACACGUGACAUGCUCAUCUUCAUUGAUGGGUUGACACGCUAUCUAGAUCAUUUACUUUGAAAAAAUUAGAGUGUUUAAAGCAGGCAUUUGCUAUGAAUACAUUAGCAUGGAAUAAUAAGUUAGGACUUCGGUUCUAUUUUGUUGGUUUCGCGGGACUGAAGUAAUGAUUGAUAGGGAUAGUUGGGGGUGCUAGUAUUCAGUGGCCAGAGGUGAAAUUCUCGGAUUCACUGAAGACUAACUUAGGCGAAAGCAUU
rnacentral:rRNA from 1 species